rnacentral:rRNA from 1 species
GAUGAACGCUGGCGGCGUGCCUAAUACAUGCAAGUCGAGCGAACGGACGAGAAGCUUGCUUCUCUGAUGUUAGCGGCGGACGGGUGAGUAACACGUGGAUAACCUACCUAUAAGACUGGGAUAACUUCGGGAAACCGGAGCUAAUACCGGAUAAUAUUUUGAACCGCACGGUUCAAAAGUGAAAGACGGUCUUGCUGUCACUUAUAGAUGGAUCCGCGCUGCAUUAGCUAGUUGGUAAGGUAACGGCUUACCAAGGCAACGAUGCAUAGCCGACCUGAGAGGGUGAUCGGCCACACUGGAACUGAGACACGGUACAGACUCCUACGGGAGGCAGCAGUAGGGAAUCUUCCGCAAUGGGCGAAAGCCUGACGGAGCAACGCCGCGUGAGUGAUGAAGGUCUUCGGAUCGUAAAACUCUGUUAUUAGGGAAGAACAUAUGUGUAAGUAACUGUGCACAUCUUGACGGUACCUAAUCAGAAAGCCACGGCUAACUACGUG